UACGUAGGGGGCAAGCGUUGUUCGGAAUUACUGGGCGUAAAGGGCGCGUAGGCGGCACGGCAAGUCGGGAGUGAAAGGCCUGGGCUCAACCGAGGAACUGCUUUCGAGACUGCCGAGCUAGAGUGCGGAAGGGGCAACUGGAGUUCCCAGUGUAGCGGUGAAAUGCGUAGAUAUUGGGAAGAACGCCUGAGGCGAAGGCGGGUUGCUGGGCCGACACUGACGCUGAGGCGCGAAAGCGUGGGGAGCAAACGGG
rnacentral:rRNA from 1 species